GGGCUUUCAAAAGUAGCCGGUAGCCGGCGGAUUUCCGCCGCCUAUAGUAACAUUAGGUGCCGGCUACUUUAGUGACAAAAAUGUAUGUCCAAUGAAAAAAACUUUUAUAAAACUUUAAACAUCUUCCAAACUUUAGUAGACUCAGAAAUCGCGGCCGUAUCAACCAGGAUGUAAAAAUGUGUUUACUUGCGCUAAAUUUAGUUCAGGUAAAUACCGGCACCUGAUUGGUCGUCUGUUGGUGUAGAAAAUAAUACGUCAAUUGCAAUAGUCGGAAAGCCUCGGAUUUACCCAAUUCGUGACAACACAGACGAGAAGUUCCGAAAGAUAACAACAAGUCCUGAACGUAAAAAUCAAUGAUGUUGACGGAAUGAAGAGAACAAAUACCCUGUUCAGUUUCGGUUUAAAAAGGCCAGAAGUGAAAAUUCAAGAAACGGACUCUAUCUGGAAAAGGAAAACAAUAUCAAAGCUCCUCUGUGAGAAGUUGGCCAAGGAAAGCAUUCAGAAGAAAGUGGAGAUUCAUUGUUUUUACCAGAUCCAGUAGAUCACAGAAAGCAUCUAGUAGGGGAGGUCUACAGAUCGAAGCAUGCCAAAUGUGUAAAGAACAAGUUUCCAGGAUUAAGCCAGCCAGUAGAUGAGACUAUUAUAUCAAAAAUACAUUUACUUGUACACGAGGGCAGGACACAAAGCGUUGAUGAAACAAAAAGACAUUUCCGUCUGUUUGUAAAGGAUACUAUUUCACCAGGGAACACCAUCUCAGAAUUUAACAGAUGCUUUUACCCCGCCAAUAAGGAUGUAAGAAAUCACAUUUACAGGGCACCGAGAUUUUGCCAGGUAGUUUAGAACUGUGUGCAUUGGUUUUGGAAGAAUUUGGGCUGUUUAGGCUAAAAUCCAUUAUGAUUGGACAGAAUAUGAACACACACAUCCAAUACUUCAAAGAUAUUAUGUUUGUGGAGGCAGAGAUUUUGAUUGCAUCCACUGUUUAGAAUACAUCCUUAAGGGAAGCAGACUGCCGCCUUUACCCAAUGAUAUAAUGAUUAAUCAUAACUAUAUCUGUUUUGUACCAAAUAGAAAGAGCAUUGAUUCAGGUCAUUUUCAAAUCCACUGGCAUACAUUGUACUAUACAUGCAACCUUUUCAAACUUUACAUUUAAGAUUUUAUAAAGGAAAUAUCUUAAUGUUUCACAUGUUUACCUUUCACUGUGCUAUGUAAUUCAUUAUACCUGCCAUUAUGCCAGUCUUCCUGAACAUAAUUUGUUUUCUGCAAUUUCAUUGGCCAAGAGGCUUAAUCCUGGGUUAUCAGAUUGAGCAUUUAUAUUUAGUAUCCCAUUGAUUUUGUCAGCCCUAUAUAAGGAGCUGACUCAGAUUUACUCACUCUGCUAGGUUAAAGAACUCUAAGGUUUGUACUUUUCACAUGAAUUUCGUGUUCGCCUCUUAUCUUUUACAUAGAGUAGGAAAUGAACAUAACAUUGAGUUAGGGAACAAUUUAGAUUUUACAUUAUAAUAUGUAAAUACCUUAGCAGAGUCAAUUUACUUGGUUCAGGGUAGUAUCAGAUAUUACUUUUUCAAAGUUUAAGUGUUUAGGCUAUCUCAAUGUUUCUAUAGUUAGCCUUGUCCUAUGUUACUUUUAGAUGUAUGGAAGCCUUUUAGUGUUAUAACACUAUAUUUAUGCCCCCAUUCAAAGAAGAGGGGCAUAUUGGUUUGCACCUGUUGGUCGGUCGGUAGACCACAUGUUGUCUGCUUAAUAUCUUAAGAACCAUUCACUUGAUCGUAAUAUAUUUCAUAUGUGGGUUGGUUAUGAAAAGAAGAGGACCCCAAUUGUUUUUCUGGUCGAAAUGUCAAGGGUCAAUCUACUCUGGACAUAGGAAGACACUGCCUGCUCAAUAUCUUGAGAACCCUUUGCUUGACAGACAUCAAACUUGGUACACUGGUACAUCUCAAGGAGUAGAUUUGAGGUCACAUGGUCAAAAGUCAAGGGGUAAACUGGACAUAGUAAUAUAUUGUCUCUUAUGUUUUAAGAAUUAUUUGCUUGAUUGACACCAAACCUGGUACAGCAUAAGGAGUAGAUGACCCCUAUUGAUUUUUAGGUCACUUGGUCAAUCCACUCCUGACACAGGAAGAUAUUGUUUGCUCAAUAUUUCGAAUUGAUGAUACGACUAUCAAUCAAAUUAUGCAUGUGUAUAACCCUUUUCAAUUUUGCACCAUGGGGGCUUAUAUGUUUUACAAACACCUCAUGUUUUAUAGUUUGUGAAAGCUUGUUAGGGUCAUAACUUUAGAUUUUCUUAUUAUGGUACUUGCCCGUCAGAGACUGGACAUAUUAUGGUAUGGUGUUGUCUGUCCGGACCUUGUAAGAUGGGAUACAGACUGAACCGUAAGCUCCAGAAUCUUACAACUUGGUACAUUUGAUCACCAUAAAAGGAAGAUGCUUAUUGUUUUUUAAGGUCAAGGUUGUAGGUUCACUUAAUAGGAAAACCUUGUUUGAGAAAAUUACAGAUUCUUGAACUGAGUAUUUUGAGGAAACAUUACAUAGAAAGUACAUGAUUUGUCAAAUUUCUCCCAAUAUUCAACUGAGAACCUUAUUCUGCAGAGUAUUUGUAUGGGUAUGGAAAAUGUGUAUGUGGCUAUGAUUUUGAUUUUUGUUUAAUUUUUUUUUUUUUUUUGAAAAUUACAGGUUUAACCGAGUCAGUUUUUGAGGAAAUAUACAUGCAUUAAAUAAAUGACGGUUUGACCUUUUAACUCCUCUCACAGUUUUGAAACUAGGGUCUUUGUAAAUAACUUCUUUGGUGUUUUAGAAUAUUUACAGAUUGUUGAUCAUGGUAAAUUUUGGGGAAAUAUUUUCUGCAGAGCUCUAGUUGUCUAUCUACCGGCCUCCUGUCACUUUUAAGUUUAGGAGCUUUUAUUCAUGGAAAGAAAGUAUGUGACAGCCUGAUGAUGGCUGAUACUAUUUAAAGCCUUUUUAUACGCCCGUCUUAAGACGGGACGUAUUAUGGUAUGGCGUUCAUGUCCGUCCGUCUGUUAGCUUUUUCGUGUCCGACCCGUAACUUAAAUACUACAAGGCCUAGAAUCAUCAAACUUUGUCUGUAGAUGCAUCUUGGGUAGAAGGUGUGUCGCACAUUAAAACCAGGUCACUGUGACUUUUCAUUAAGAAGAUAUCCGUCUGUCCGUCCGUCUGUUAGCUUUUUCGUGUCUGACCCGUAACUUAAAUACUACAAGGCCUAGAAUCAUCAAACUUUGUCUGUAGAUACAUCUUGGGUAGAAGGUGUGUCGCACAUUAAAACCAGGUCACUGUGACUUUUCAUUAAGAAGAUAUGGCCAUAUAUGGCAAAAACUUGUCCGGCUCAUAACUUGAAAACUAUUAGGCCUAGAAUCACCAAAAUUGGUCAACUAAUGCAUCUUAGGUAGAAGGUGUGUCGCAUCCUACUUUAAGGUCACUGUGACAUUUAAUUAAGGUAAUAUAAAAAAAAAUGUUUUAAUGGGUACAAUCUAUACUGUUAACAAUAUGUGACGGGCGUAUCAUGUGCCGUGGCGGUGCACUUUAUUCUAGAAAUGGCAUCAGAAAAACACCCUAUGUAACCUUUUCUGCUUAUACUCAUUUAUUUUUAUUGGAAAACUUAUUACUUGUUAUCAGCUACUCUAAAACAAUAUUGACUUGUGCUAUAAUAAAUUUGUAAACUUUA